rnacentral:rRNA from 1 species
AUUAUAAAAAUAUAAUAAAAUAAAUUUAGAUUAGUAGUAAAUAUGUUUAUGAAAUUAAAAUAAUUUGGUGGUAUUUUAGUCUAUUCAGAGGAAUUUGUUUUAUAAUCGAUAAUCCUCGUUGUAUCUAACUUAUUUUAUUUAAUUUGUAUAUCGUUGUCAUUAGAAUAUUUUAUAAGAAUAAAAAUUUUCUAGAAUUAAUUAUAAAAUUUUAUGUCAAAUCAAGGUGCAGUUAAUAUUUAAGUAAAAAUGAAUUACAAUAAUAUUUAAUUAUAAUGAAUUUAUAAAAGAAAAAUUAUAUUGAAGGUGGAUUUGAUAGUAAAAAUAAAGAGAUUAUUAUUUUGAUUAUAGCUCUAACAUAUAUAC